UACGGGGGGGGCAAGCGUUGUUCGGAAUUACUGGGCGUAAAGGGCUCGUAGGUGGCCAACUAAGUCGGACGUGAAAUCCCUCGGCUUAACCGGGGAACUGCGUCCGAUACUGGUUGGCUUGAGUUUGGGAGAGGGAUGCGGAAUUCCAGGUGUAGCGGUGAAAUGCGUAGAUAUCAGGAGGAACACCGGUGGCGAAGGCGGGAUCCUGGGCCAGUACUGACGCUGAGGAGCGAAAGCGUGGGGAGCAAACAGG
rnacentral:rRNA from 1 species